rnacentral:rRNA from 1 species
UGGGGAAUUUUGGACAAUGGGGGAAACCCUGAUCCAGCCAUACCGCGUGUGCGAUGAAGGCCUUCGGGUUGUAAAGCACUUUUGGCAGGAAAGAAACGUCAUGGGUUAAUACCCCGUGAAACUGACGGUACCUGCAGAAUAAGCACCGGCUAACUACGUGCCAGCAGCCGCGGUAAUACGUAGGGUGCAAGCGUUAAUCGGAAUUACUGGGCGUAAAGCGUGCGCAGGCGGUUCGGAAAGAAAGAUGUGAAAUCCCAGAGCUCAACUUAGGAACUGCAUUUUUAACUGUCGGGCUAGAGUGUGUCGGAGGGAGGUGGAAUUCCGCGUGUAGCAGUGAAAUGCGUAGAUAUGCGGAGGAACACCGAUGGCGAAGGCAGCCUCCUGGGAUAACACUGACGCUCAUGCACGAAAGCGUGGGGAGCAAACAGG